UGUGAACCCUUAUUAUUUUUAUUUAUUUUGUUAUAAAUAGUCAUUAGAGUGACAUUUUAUUAAUCCAUUGCAGCCAAACACACACAAUAUUAUUUUUAUGAUUAAAAAAAAAAAAAUUAUUAUUAUAUUAACAAUUAUUAAAAAGAUAAAAUGUUUAUAAUGGCAGGUUAAUCUUUCUGAAAUUUUAGAUAAUCGCGAGGAUGAGGUCUUGUGUGUAGUAUAUAAAAAAGCUCACGCGACAGUAAUUUAUAUAAUAAAAUAAAAAAUAACGCGAUUAAUAAUAAUAAUAAUUAUUAGGCGUGCAGUAGCCCUAUCGGAUCCGGCCCUUGCUUACCAAAGCAUUGGACCGGGUUCGAGUCCGGCGUACAUCAAUAAAUUUUUUAUAAUAUUUAAGUGUAUUAUUCUGCUCAGCCCAAAAAAUAAAAACGAGUUCCAAUCUCAAAAGUUUACCCCCUACCGUAGUCGCUGAUUACCUUAGUAGUUUAUGCGACUUUAAACAAAUU